rnacentral:rRNA from 1 species
UGGGGGAUAUUGCACAAUGGGCGAAAGCCUGAUGCAGCGACGCCGCGUGGGGGAUGAAGGCCUUCGGGUUGUAAACUUCUUUUGCUCUGAACAAGGCAUGCUAAUGGGUGUGUUGAGUGUAGGGGUUGAUUAGCGCCGGCUAACUACGUGCCAGCAGCCGCGGUAAUACGUAGGGCGCGAGCGUUGUCCGGAAUUAUUGGGCGUAAAGGGCUUGUAGGUGGCUGGUUGAGUCUGUCGUGAAAGCUCAUGGCUUAACUGUGGGUUUGCGGUGGGUACGGGCUGGCUUGAGUGGAGUAGAGGAGGCUGGAAUUCCUGGUGUAGCGGUGGAAUGCGCAGAUAUCAGGAGGAAUACCGGUGGCGAAGGCGAGUCUCUGGGCUGUUACUGACACUGAGGAGCGAAAGCAUGGGGAGCGAACAGG